rnacentral:lncRNA from 1 species
GAGGAGGAGCCCGAGGUGGCGGUGACCGUCGGUGGCGCGGGGGUCGCGGUGGACCGAAGGAGGACCGGCGGGGAGGGGCCCGGUGACUGGGCCGCCGUGGCCGGUGGCGGCCCCGGCCGAGGCGCCGGUGGGGAGGGGCGGCCACCAGGGAGGUGAUGUCCGCCGGAGAUGGGAGUGGAGGAGGGUCGGCGACUGUGAGGAACUCCGGCGGCGUGGGGAGGGCCUGGUGACGGAGGGCCGACCGAGGGGGCCGGGGCGAGGUCGACCUCGGAAGGAGGGAGACGGCUUGGGGGUUUCCAGACGCAGGGAGGCGAGCGGGCGCGUGGAGGGAUCCGGUGUGAGGGGUGGCCGGCGCUGGGAGGGCAGCCGACGGCGGGGCAGCACGAUGGUGGUACGGGACGUGCGGUCGCUGGGGGGUGAAGGUCUCGGUAGAUCGAGAGGAGAGGGUUCCUCGCGAGGGGAGGGGUCUCGCGACGGGAAGGAGAUGGGGGCGAGGGGGGCCGAUCCCCUUGUGGGUUCGGUGAGUGGGGGAGAUGAGGGGGGCCGAUCCCCUUGUGGGUUCGAUGAGCGGGGGGGGGGAGACGAGGGGGGACGAGGGGAAAAGUGUCGGUGGGGGGAUUAGGUGGGUCGCAGGGGCGAGAGGCUAGGCGGGUGUGGCUCUCGCGGGGUGGGAGCCGGCGGCGGCUGCUGGGAACGAGGGGAGAGGGCGCUAGGGUUUGGGUGGGAGUGGCCGUCUGGGCCACCUUGGCCCAGUCGGGCCAGGGGGUGGGGGGUCUUUUCCUUUUUUUAUUUUUUAUUAGUUCUAAUCCUUUUUAUUGUUCUAUUUUUAUUUACUUUCUUUUAUAAUUUAUAAUUAUACUUUUAAUCCUUUCUUUUAUUUAUUUCUUUUACAGUUACUAUAUUUCUAUUUACUUAUUUUGUUUAAAGCUCCUGUUGUAAAUAUAUUGGGAUUAUCAAUUAUUCCAAAAGUUCCUGAUUCAUUUUUAUACUUUGCUAGGUAACCUUUAUAACUCCCGACGUUAUUAUUUCAACAACAUAGAAUCUUUUCAUGUUUGACUUAAUCUCGAAGCUUCGAAUUUUGAUUCGGUUUCAAUCAACAUAAGAACAUUGAAGUAAUCCAUGGUGACGUGGCGUCAUUAGCGUGGGAUCGUUGUCGCUUAAUUACAAUCAUCACUGUAGCAAAAGUCGAGGAUGUCACAAUUCUCCCCUACUAACAAGAAUUCUUGUCCCGAGAAUUAAGAGGUAGAAGGAAAGAGCUGGGGUAUUCAUCACGAAGAUGAUCCUCGCGUUCCCAAGUGGCCUCAUCUUCAGAAUGAUUUGACCACUACACUUUAAGGAACUUGGUGACCUUGCGACGAGUCUUACGUUCAACUUGGUCGAGAAUGCGGACCGGAUGCUCUUUAUAAGAGAGGUCUUGUUGCAGUUGUAGCAUAUCCUGAUCCACUUUUCGAAUAGGAUUCUUGAAGCAGCGGCGGAGCUGAGACAGAUGGAAGACAUCGUGAACCUAGGAAGGAUUUGACGGCAGAUCCAAUUGACAAGCCACUCUUCGACGCCUUUCGAGAACAGUGAAAGGACCAAUAUAGCGAGGAGCUAACUUGUCCUUGAUCCCGAAAUGGUGUGCACCUCUCAUUGGUGUGACACGAAGAUAAGCCUUUUCGCCAGGUUGAUAGACCAUAUCUUGAUGAUGACAGUCAUACUGACUCUUCUGAUGAGAUUGAGCAGCCUUCAGAUUCGCAUGUAUAAUGCGGACUUGAUCUUUAGUAUGUUGGAUAAUACCCAGACCGAAGAGCGAUUGGUCCAUUGAACGGUGGCUGUGGAACUCCACACGAAGUCAAGUGUAAAGGGUACUUUGGAGUCAAAGAUGUACAGGAGAGCCAGGUUUCAAUCCUGUGGAACUUUGGGUUAUGGAUCCACCACGUGGACCGAGAGUAGAUAGAGGGGUGGCAUAUUAUACGGUCUUGGUAGCAAGACAUGUCAGAGGGUAGUCUGUCAGUUAUGUUGGCAACAACGUCGGUACCAAGGGCGGGGGACGAAUAGAACCAUUUUCCUGCUCGUUGAAACGAGGCGGACCAAUAGGCAAAGUUCUCGUCCACCGGGGGCUACCGGAAUGUUAUCCACAAUACUAACGGGGUCUUACCGACAGAGUUGUAUACCGAGAUUUUUACCUAAGCAGGGAAUUAACACUGCUUGGAUAAGUUAUGCCACAAGAAAGGUCAAACAGACCAAUGAGAAUGAGAAUGCGUGCACACACACAAGAAUUUAAAGUAUACCAUUCCUGAGGGGAACAUAGAGUAUGGUAUACAUGAUAGGUCAUCAAGUACAUAACCAUCUUGAUAAAAGGACAAGAAAAAUCACGAUGUUUACCCAUACCAUAUGGUUUGGAUAAUUGAUCAAAAACAAUUUGGCAUUGCGCUUCCAAUGUUCCUGAUGAUGUUAGGAGUACCACAUCCGUGCUUCGAGGUAGCAUCAACAUGGUUAUCAGGUAAAUGUUGAACUAAUGGGUACACAAAGAGGAUUCAUGAGGAACAACUUAUGAAAUAAGUCAUAUAAUUUUCGCAUGGUUGAAUGGCUAACCUUACGUACAGAAGAAUUUAUAACAAUAGGUCAUGCGGCCCGGUGUGCCAGUCAAGACAUCACCGUACCGGGUUAUAUGAGACCAAAGUUAUAAUUAUUGGAAAAAUGUUCCAACCAUCAUAUCUGCCCGAGAUUCAGAUCUGAUUGGUGUCAGGGGUACCUCGGACUCAAUAUGCCUGAGAAGAAAGAUGAAGACGCAAGAUCCUCAUGAUAUGAGCUACACAAGCAAACCUUGAACCAUGAGUUCGAUUCUAAUACAUAUGAACACAAUGUCAAGACAUUCGUGCCCACGUGGAAUUCUUACGUCAAAAUGCAACUGAGUUCUGAUUUGUGAACCAUCAUCGAGGAUAACAAGGCUCCAUGUGUAAGUCUGGAUUAGCUCUUAUGAAGGAAUUCCUUUUUCCCUGGUCAAAUCAGUCAGUGGCUUGACGUGCUAAAAGAAAUUAUAAGAAGUGAAGAUAACAAAUCUUCAAAACAUAUAACACUUCGCACAUGCGUGAAUGAUUUGGUAUUUCCCGAGAAGCAGCGAAACAAAACUUUCACAUAUUCACGGUGGAAAGAGUGCACGUGAACUUUGGGAAAACAUUUCUGUUAUCAAGCACGAUCUUCAUGAGUUAGGCACAAGGAUAAUGCUUUCAAGAGCUUCAUCACGAACCAUGGAGAACUUGAGGGUGUGGCCGAUGGGCUCAGCAACAAUCCCUCCAAAUUUUGACAGGGAUGAAUUUCCAAAAUUACAAUAUGAAGGAGAUAGUUUUUGUCCAAACAAAUGGUAUAAUGCCAUAUGCUCGAGGGAACAACAACAAUUAAACAUUGGUCGAAGGGUGCACUCGAAAAUACUGACGUAGUAGUGCAACCAAUGUCCAAAAUGAUGAGCCAACACCCCACUCAUUAAGAAUGAAACAAUCAAUUGUUAACCUCAAGGCAAUGGGGUUGCCAGAAGUAUUGGAAUCACACAUCAGAGUUCACUUGUUGGUAUUCCUGUUUGAAACAAUACGGGACCAAGAAAUGAAUGGUGGUGGCGAGAAGUAUUACUAUAUCAAGAAUUCUUAAGAUGUGUGCAAUUCUCACGACAUCCUUGACAUAAAGAUGGUAAUACUCCAAGGUAGAAGAUAACGUAAGCUGAAUAGCAAGGGACUUAAGGGACAACACAAAACAUGAACACGUUUGUGUUGGAGGGAAGGUAAACAAUGAUGCCGAUGAUAAUACAAUCAUCGAGGGGCAACGAUGGUAUUUGUCAACAUGCAUUCGAUUGAUACCCUGCAAGAGCUCAGAAUGCUGAUGAUGAUCACAACACAUUUGUCGAGAAAUUUCAUGAAGAUGUAAUCAUUUAGCGACGGCAUCAAGCAAGGGAAUGAUGAAGCAAGAGGUUGUCGGAAACACAGAUAAGACCGCUCGCUUAGAAUUGAGAUUGCCUUUCAAUACAACCAACAUGAUGUGGAAAGCUCGAUGCAAGCUUAACGCAUAGUUGGAAUUGUGUUCCAGGGAUGAAGGGUAUAGAUAGCAUGGUCGAGCUCCAACAUGACGAUGAUGAUGUAGCUUAACAACUUGGAAUGACAGGAUCGAGUACAACUCGUAAACAAGGAAGAUUACUAAAAAUUGUUGAAUCGCAAUGCGUACUCGAUUCAGUUAUCGAUGUACUCGCGUGUCCAACAACUCAAACACGAGGCAACUGGAAUUAAGGAAAAUAUCAUAGUUGAUGAGGAGCUCAAGAAGUUCCAUAGCUCCGCGAUAUCCUCGAGCUAUAAGGAAUAAUACUCGGAGGUAGAUCAACUUUAAGGUUUGGACCGGUGUGUUGAUCUCAAGAAGACAAGUACUUUAACUCGUCUAAGAAUGAAAUCAACGUAGGACAACAUGGUCAGAACCAUGACUGUAAAGGACAAGACCACAGAUCCCAGAUUUAAACUACAGAAUGAAUUGAUUAUUGAUACGAGAAGUUUCUAUGAUAGGAUCAACGUCGUUUCCAUGGGCAUGAACACAAAGUUCAAGGUCUACUCCCACUUCAUCAAUGCAUCACCUGCCAUUUAUUCCUCGCCUUUGAUAAGGUUGUAGCUUUGAAAGAACAUUCGGCAAAACACCAGAAGAGCAAGACUCGUGAAAACUCUUCGGAUCAUAUUGAUUUAGUAAGGCAUAGGUUCAUCCCAUAGGGGCAUCUUAGGAACAUAUACCAUACACUCCAAGAGUAAUUAACACAUGCUUGAAGGGCAUGGCUGACAAAAGCGUAGGGUACAACUCAUCAUACGGAGAAGACACAAUUUACCAAUGGCAUUAUGUAUCAGUGGAACACUAUCACAAGAAUUUUUGAAUAUAAAGGAUGUCGUCGGAUAAUAACCCAGAAUGAGUCUGGCAAUCCACAAAUGAUCUGAUGUGAGUAUCGGUACUCAAUCAUAGGGGGUAAAACGCAAGUCAUCUGAUUAUAGAACAUCUGAAAAAUAUCGAUACUUAACUACCAAAGGAAUUAAGAUUUCCAGAUUGGUGUAUCAUAAACAGAUGCUCUAGUCAAAUACCAGUAAUUUGAAUGGACUUAGAUGGACAGCCAACCAAAGUUGAUUUGUCGAGAACCCGCUCCGUUUGGAAGGACGUCUGAGGCGAAAGAUAAUUCAUGAGUAUCAGCAGAUGAUUGUGUGCAUUCACCCAAAGGUAGAAUCAAUAAGAUCACAGGAAAAUACACAAGGAAUUUUAAUGAAUGCGGCUAGUCAUAUGGAUUUAACCAUAAUGCAAGCAGGUGAGAAAAGCCAUGAACAUUAGGCUACGGAGGAUUUCGGAAGACCGAAUAAUAAGUCGAAGAACUUUCAAAACCCAUGACAACUGAUGAUGGACGAAUCCCCGGUAAGAUAAUUCGUUGCAUCUCGUAAAACAAGAGGAAUUGAAGAAAAAAGUAUGAACGACAUUUGUAUGUAGUCAUCCUUAGUGGUUGACGAAGGAAGGGAAAAUUGCAGAAGCAAUGAGCACAACAGCUCAUGAGAACAUCGAAGAGUAACUGCAGUUCUUCUGAGCGAUAAAGCCAUCGUCUGGAAUACGGGGCUCUCCGGGAUGAAAUAUUUACGAGAACCUAAUGUUAGAGUUAGUAAAAUCUUUAACCCGAAAGAGAAGAGAGAAUAGAGCCCAGAGUAUAGGAAAGGAGUAAAAGAUACUAAUACCACCCAAUUGAGAUGUGGGCCCGUAAGCCACAACAUCAGUGUUAGUAAAGUUUUUCAAACACUAGACUCAACUUCGGCCAAGGAGUUGGAAAGGGGGCUACCUACAGGCAGUCGGCUCUGAUACCAACUUGUGACACCCUCAGUGUAAUCGUAUGCUAAACAUACACGCAAAUGCGUACGAUCAAACCCAAGGACUCAUGGGAAGAUAUCACAACACAACUCUAGACGCAAAUAAAAUAACAUCAGCUUCAUAUUACAAGCCAGGGGCCUCGAGGGCUAGAAUACAGAAGCUCGAUAAACACACGAGUCAGCGGAAGCAACAAUAUCUGAGUACAGACAUAAAACAUGGAGUGCCUUAGAGAAGGCUAGCACAAAAGAUACAUCGAUCGAACGACGCGAGGCCUCCUGCCUGGGAACCUCCUAACUACUCCUGAUCAUCAGCGGCCUCCACGUAGUAGUAGGCACCGUCGGGGUAGCAGUCUUCGUCGGCGGGGACCUCCAACUCCUGGGCUUCAUCAUCUGGUCGCAGCAAACGGAUCAAGGGGACAAGGGGGAAGCAAAGCAGCGGUGAGUACUCAUCCAAAGUACUUGCAAGUCUUACAUCAGAACUAUUCUAAUUAUGCAUCAGUAUCAAAGAAGGGGGGUUAUAUGUGGACUGAUUACAACAAUGCGAGAAUAGAGAGAGAAGGCCUAGUCCUAUCGAAGACCAGCAUCUUCAGGGUCUUGCAGCAAUAGACGAGAGUAGAACAGGGGUAAAACAUUAAUAGUCAUAUUGUUGCAGCAAUAUUAAAGUGAGGUCACGCCUAAAGAUCCUCCCUCAACUCCCUACGAGGAAGCAAUCCCGAGGCAAACUAAUUCCAGUUAAGUAACAAUUGUAGCUGUAUAAGAUCGGGGCACAACUCCAAGUCGUCCUGUAACCGUGGACACGGCUAUCCGAAUAGUUAAUUUUCAUCCCUGCAGGGGUGCACCACAUGUCCCGUCACGCUUGAUAACACUCUGGCCGGACAUACUUUUCUGGGUCCUGCCCGGCCUCGGAAUAUCGACACGUCGCAGCCCCACAUAAGACUAAUCAGAGAGGUCAGCCCGCCGGUCUAAAUCCUAAACGCAAAGGGUUCAUGGGCCCAGUUCCCCUCCGCGCUCCUGCAUGAUGCGAGGGCGUCCGGCGUCAGUCCUAGCAUCCCUUAAUCACAAGCGCAAUGCAUCUCGGGACCACUCAGGCGCGCGCCACUAUGAUUGCUGACAUCUGAAAAGCUUCGGCCGAUAUCGCGACGCCGAGUACCCAUAAUUCUUCCCGCGUAGCCGGUUAGUGCGAAAAGGUCUCCGACCAACCCAGAUCAAAUACCCAAAUCCAUUAAAAUUUUAAUUAAGCCAGCAACACAGUCUCACGGGAAUCCACCCGUCUUACAACUAAUCACCAAAGAUCCCAGUAACAUGGUCGAGUAACUGUGUGGCUGUAACAUCGGGGGGAAUCCGAGGUAUCACCCUCGUUGGAUUCUGAACGAUCUACCCGUCAAGGUGGGCUUAGAGGAAUCACCCUUGAGGGUCCCUCACUUGAGGGGUUGCACGACACAGGCGUCAUCGGGAAUGGUGAAAGAGGAAUCACCCUCGAUAACCACGACCGACUAGCUAUACUACAGAGAUAUCAUCAGGAGUACUUAGCGAGGUGUCACCCUCGGUACCCGAUAGUAUCUCUGUAGCGUCGUACAACGAAGGGGGUGAAUGUGCUGUGUCGGGUCUGGCUCGUCGAUCAGAGAUCGAGAUUUGAAAACAAGCGGGGCUACUGGACUACGGGGUCAGAGGGGAUGACUGCUCCACCUAUACUAAGCAUAUUAAAGGUACAUGACUGAAAGUAGCAGUUCAUCAAAAAUAGGCUAUGCAUCAGAUAUAGGAGCUAACUACAACAGUAGCAAAAUACUAAUGCAAGCAGUAGGAAGAAAGACAUAGGCGAUAUAGGAAUGAUCAAGGGGGGUUUGCUUGCCUUGCUGCUCUGCGGCAAAGGACUGAUCGGCACGGUCGUGGAUGUACCCGGCAGCAGCGUCAGUCUCGGGGUCUACCGGUAAGAAGAGGGGGAAGAAACAAUAAAUAAUAGCAACGGUGGAACACAAAGCAUGACAUGGCAAGAUGCACGCUAGACAUGAGCUAACGCAGCAACAUCCGUCAUAGACGGGUCGGAAGAAUAUCUGACGAUAUUUUCCCGGGUCUCGGGCUACUACCGGCUAUACUGGAAACGAUGGAAAUGUUCCAUGUUUGCUAUGCUAGGGACGCGUGACACAUGGACCGUGUAUCCGGGUUCGUCUCGUUCUGCCGAUCAACUUUCAUGUUGAAAAUAAUUUGAUCUCACUUACAGAUUAUUUUAUAUUACUUUUAAAAGUUUUAUUCAAUAAUUAGGAAUUAAAAACAGAUUUAAAUAAUUUAAUAAAAAGCUAUUAUGACAUCAGCAUGAUGUCAUGCUGACAUCAACAUUUGACUGGUCAACUCACUAGCGGGUCCCGAACGUCAUAGGCACAAGUUUCAAUAUAGAUUAAAUAUUGAUUAAUCCGAUUAAUUUAAUGGGGACCCACGUGACAUACUCUAAUUAUUCUAAUUAUCCAACUAACUAAUUAACUGAUAUACCUAUUUAAGUAAUUAACUAAAUAAUUAAUAUACUAAUUAUUCAUUUAUUUAUUUUAUUAAUAAAAACAUAUAUAUAUAUAUAUUUUUUAACAGGGUUUGUGUGGGGCCUCCCUGUCAGUGGGAGAGUGGGGGGGGGGGGUUGGCCCCACCGGUAAGUGGCAUUAUCCAUACCACAAUUUACGCACACAUAUUCAUAAUGCAUUUUCUUAUAUACAUGCAUACAUACAUAAUAAUACAUACAUAUCUAGUACGGAUAAACAUACACAUUUCUACAUACAUCCAUACAUAAUACAUACAUAUUCUCAUUUUCUCUUUCUUUCUCUCACAUCUCUCUGUGACAACUCUCUGUGUUGUCUAUCUCACCUUCAUCUCUCAACAUAGAGGAAGGGGGAAAUCUCCACUACACCUACGAGACCUCAACGGCGCCGGAACGAGAAACUAACUUCCGGAACGGAACCGGGGCAGAAAACGGAAGGAGAGGGUGGGAGGAGCCCGUAAAAGGGCUCACCGGCGUUGCCGGGGAACGGGGCGACGAGGCUCGGGGUCGGCCGUUGUGGAGGAUGACGAGGAGGCGGAUGGUGCGGUGCCGGUGAGGAGGAGCCCGAGGUGGCGGUGACCGUCGGUGGCGCGGGGGUCGCGGUGGACCGAAGGAGGACCGGCGGGGAGGGGCCCGAUGAAGGGCCGCCGUGGCCGGUGGGGGCCCCGGCCGAGGCGCCGGUGGGGAGGGGUGGCCACCGGGGAGGUGAGGUCCGCCGGAGAUGGGGCUCCCGGAGAUGGGAGUGGAGGAGGGUCGGCGACGGUGAGGAACUCCGGCGGCGUGGGAGGGCCUGGUGACGGAGGGCCGGCCGAGGGGGCCAGGGCGAGGUCGACCUGGGAAGGAGGGAGACGGCUUGGGGGUUUCCAGACACAGGGAGGCGAGCCGGCGCGUGGAGGGAUCUAGUGUGAGGGUUGGCCAGCGUUGGGAGGGCAGCCGACGGUGGGGCAGCACGAUGGUGGUAGGAGACGUGCGGUCGCUGGGGGGUGAAGGUCUCGGUUGAUCGAGAGGAGAGGGUUCCUCGCGAGGGGAGGGGUCUCGCGACGGGAAGGAGAUGGGGGCGAGGGGAGCCGAUCCCCUUGUGGGUUCGGUGAGUGGGGGAGACGAGGGGGGCCGAUCCCCUCGUGGGUGCGGUGAGUGGGGGGAGACGAGGGGGGGACGAGGGGAAAAGUGUCGGUGGGGGGGAUUAGGUGGGUCGCAGGGGCGAGAGGCUAGGCGGGUGUGGCUCUCGUGGGGUGGGAGCCGGCGGCGGCUGCUGGGAACGAGGGGAGAGGGCGCUAGGGUUUGGGUGGGAAUGGCCGGCUGGGCCACCUUGGCCUAGUCGGGCCGAGGGGGUUGGGGGUCUUUUCCUUUUUUUUUUAAUAUUUUUUUAUUAAUUCUAAUCCUUUUCAUUAUUCUAUUUUUAUUUACUUUCUUUUAUAAUUUAUACUUUUAAUCCUUUCUUUCAUUUAUUUCUUAUACAUUUACUAUAUUUGUCUUUACUUAUUUUGUUUAAAGCUCCUUUUGUAAAUAUAUUGGGAUUAUCAAUUAUUCCAGAAGUUCCUGAUUCAUUUUUAUACUUCGCUAGGUAACCUUUAUAACUCCCCAACGUUAUUAUUUCAACAACAUAGAAUCUUUUCACGUUUGACUUAAUCUCGAAGCUUUUAAUUUUGAUUCGGUUUCAACCAACAUGAGAACAUUGAUGUAAUCCAUGGUGACGUGGCAUCAUUAGCGCGGGAUCGUUGUCGCUUAAUUACAAUGAACACUGUAGCAAAAGUCGAGGAUGCCACACUCAACUCCCCGGAAGAAAUUAAGUCAGACAGGAGGUACCAAGACACAACUCCGUCACAUCGGCAUCAUAUAGAUUGCAAAAAUAUCCGCGUGAUCCUAAAAAAAUUUGAGUGAGAAGAGGAGUAGAAUUAAAUUAUUACGUCAAGAUUCCUCACGAGAGCAUAGAAGAGGAGAAAAAAGAAUCCUACUCUCCGAUAUAUAACUAGACUCAUAGUAGUUUUUCACUAGACUCGACUCAGCCAAGUUCGAUCAAUCAAGGGGGCUCCUAAGUCGGUACUGCUCUGAUACCAACUUGUCACGCCCAAGAUGCGACCCUAUCCUCAAUUUGGCACGAGGGCCUCGUCAGGGAUAGAAGCGCAUCUCGUCGUGUCUCAAGAAUGGAUAUCGUUACAAGUACAUGUACUGAAAAGAAGAUAUAUAUAUAUAUAUAUAUAUAUAUAUAUAUAUCUUCUUUUCAGUACAUGUACUUGUAACGAUAUCCAUUCUUGCGACACGACGAUAUGCGCUUCUAUCCCUGACGAGGCCCUCGUGCCAAAUUGAGGAUAGGAUCGCAUCUUAGGCAUGACAAUUUGCUCACGCGUUCAAAGGUGCCAGUGGAUAACCAAAAGAAUGGAAGUCCAAGAUUUCACUAAAUGUUAAUCUUCAUAUGGUAUCUUCGAAGGGGAGUUGAUCUAACAAAGACAACCACGCCCGUCGCAAUGGCAAGGAAGUAAGUAGUGUUCAUAAUGAGUCAAUCAAAUGCCUCUUUUUCCUUUGCAAGUUUGGGCAUUGUACAUGCCGAAUCAUCCAAAUAGUGUCUAGUUUAUAUCCGUCCACAAGUGUUACCAAUAUUUCCGGUCAUUGAUUAGACUAUAUUCCAAAUAGUUUUUAGAACUCUAACAAGGUUGGGAGUGAAUGCCUUAUUAAGGUUGCAUUUGAAAUGUAAAAAUGAUUUAAUAUUUAAUGUCAAAAACUAUGUUCCUUUGCAGGUUAUUUUACGUUGUACACAUUCGCUUCGUAUGUAUGCUACACCAAGCGGAGUACCAACCGCUCUUCAAGGCAGUGUGUAUGCAGUUGGAGCGGAUAGCCAAGGAGGUUUUCCCCCACCAAAAGGUACAACAUAAUCUCCGGAUUGGUUCACCACCUUCUUUAAAAUAGGCAUAGUAUCGGUCCUAUAUGACUGCACUGUUGCCGAUAUGUUGGUUUAUUAUCUUUCGUAAGACGUAUUGGUGAUUGAAUGUAUGCAUCUUAGUUGUGUAGAGAUCGGGCGAUGCUGAUCAUUCCUUCUAUCCGCUUAGUUAUAUAAUUUGAGUUAAUAAAAGCGUAAAGAAAUGUCAUACUAAACACAACCGAAUGUGUGCCCUCCGUUCUUGAAAACAGACCACCAAUGUUGCAAACAAGCCCUUUUGUCAGCGUCCAUGGAGCGGGAUUUAGUUGUGGGCAUCCUAUAGUGAUUGAAAGGGGAGAUGGGAGGGAAGGGGGCUUCAGCGGUGCCUAUGGCUUUCUUCCCGAGCCGCUCCAUCAAGAGAGCAAGGCGGGCGGGGACCUAGUUCUCUUUAGCAAGUUGGGUAAUUCAAUUUUGUUGCUCGUGUUAUGGAGUGAUGUGCUAAAAAAGAACACCCCCACCCCAAUUUACCGAAAUCUAGUAAAUUAAUGCCUUCUACUCAACUUAAAGAUAGUGCUGAUGGGUUGCGAUAGAUGAAGAAGAACAUAACCUUCAUGACACAGGGCAUCUCUAUUUGUUUUUCUCAAGCCAAUUUUUUAGAGAAGCGAUAUGUAGCAUAUACAUUAUAUAGUCAUAUCCAUGUCCACCAAAAAUGCAUAGGCUUUCCUAAAAACAUAGGCCUUAGAUAGAAGACGUUCGAGCACUGGACAUGCACUAGUCUUGUGUACUAAGGAUGGGUCUGAUUACCUGCAUCUGUAGCCCACCUUAGUCUAGUUGAGUGAGUACAGGUCGAAAAUCAAGUUUUGCAUAUAUGUAUUUGUUUUCUCGCAUGCUCCAGCCUGGCUGAGAGCAACAUCGAUACUUAUGUUUGGUUGUCUGCAUGUUCUACCCAUAUGGAGAGAUGUUGUUUGGUUACAUACAACACAAGUGAUGUGUUAACCUCUUUUAGGAGUGAUAAGGUUACCAGUACACGCACACACACACAACAACAUCACACCUAACCAUAGCAUAAACCAUAAGUUCAUAACCAUAACCGGAGCAGUUCAGAGAGGCUAACAUGGGAAUAAUACCAUCUUAAGCACAUAGUCUUCAAACUUGAUUAACCUAACAUAGAUAAAGGCGAUCCCAUACUAAACACCAUCAACACCAUCCACACCACCACCCUCACCAGCAGCAACACCACAAUCAGCAGUAGCAACACCCUCAUCAACACAUUCAACAUCCAUGUUGAAUGCUCUCGAGUGCGGCCCACACCUUGACACAACCUCAAUGCCCUCGUCGUUGAAGACUCAGACCUGAAAGUUUGCAGGACUCACCGGCUUGAAGGUUAGAAGACACCCUAUACAGAUCUCGUGGGCUACGCAUAAGGUGGCCCAAGCCUUAUCAAAGGGCGAUCCUUCCACCGAUCAUCUUGGUGGUGACCUUUCAGGUGCAGUUGUUGUUCAUCGUCGGCCUGAAAAGCUAUGCGACUAGGACAUGUGCUUGCUGAAGGCAGGGUCGGCAGCAGAACGUCCAAUUUGGGUCCAAAUAUGGUCUUGGAGAAGUGCGUCGGGCACGCGUUCACCUCAUAAUGGUCAUACUUAUUAACCCUCUUCGAGGGGUGUCGAUGUCCAGCCUCAACACUUUCUAAUUCUUUCCUGGACCUCCUUGACCUUUCGAGCAGAUGCAACCUCCUUGACCUUCCCGAAAGAGUUGGCCUCCUUGCAAGCCUUGUCAUUGCUUCCCAUGAUGAGCUUCUCAAUUUGCAUUGCAGAUAUACAUAUGAACUAGUGAUCGAAUGAAACAUGCACGACACUUAUGAGCUACAUAACUAUGAAGGACAUUGACGAGCUAUACGAGCACCCGACAAGGAUUUCUCAGCGUGGGUGAUCUACAGUGCGUCUCGAGGUGGUCGACUACAAACUCUAGGAUACCACAUGUGUGUUCAAACUCUUGAAAUUGCUACGACUUGUGUGAAAACCGUCGAAUCAUGGAUUUGUUCAAUCCUUGACAUCCCUACCCCGUAUGUUCAAACCUUCCAAUUGGUUUAAUUGGUCCCAAAUCACAAUGAUUCAAUCAUUCCCAAAUCAAAGCCUAACCCUCAAUCGAAUAGGUGCAAUCCACAAAAAAUCGAGCGAUGUGUGUUAAAAUAGAUGCUACACACAGGAUGGAGGACAUGCCAACGUAGACGCGGACGAGGGGAGGGGGGCUCCCAGCCGGUGCUCGAUAUGCAGAUCUUUGUCGUCAUCACUUGUGAGAGACAAGGAGGGGAGUGUGCGGUGGGAGAAGGGUGAAGUGAAACGGUUGGAGAAGAGAGGAGUGAAGCGGUAGGAGCGGUGAUGAGAGCUACGUCACCGCUUCAGGAGCCAACACGGUUUCUAUUGAGUGUGCGGCUAGUUUUAUCAAUGUCCGUUCCCUCGCUUUUUUAAAUUGACCGUUUUCAACAAACCAAACACAAAGGUGAGUUGAUAUCCAUACGGACCGUGAUUUUUACACAAUCCAGGUAAUCAAAUCUGCUACAACUACACCGAGCAGGACCUAAUGCGAAACAACAAAACGCUUCCCCGAUAGAUGCUGCAAAUUGGUAUGUGCACGACCACUAAGACUUGGAUCGGCUCCGCUCCACUCUUUUGACUCCGUGGAGUUGCAGCGUUCGGCGCGCUCCUCCCGCUCCCGAAGCGGAGUUGUGGAGUGGAGUGGAUCCGAACAGGUCCUAAGUGUGUAUCCCUUGAUGCUAUAUAAUAAAGGGGAUAAAAUGUCUUUUAUCAAAAAAAAAGUACAAACAGCUCCAAGCAAACUGGACGCAUACACACACACACCGGGAAUAAACUAACACACGCUCGUCUCAAUAUCUCAUGCUCCAGAUCCUAAACCGGGUGCCGCGACGGCAACCCACCCUCAUCCUUGCUCCGGUUACGAAAAAACAGUGACCGCGGCGUGCCAGCCGUUUUCUUGCCCGCCAGCGGCCGCUACACCGGAUACGGUCGGAUCCCACAAGAAUAUACAGUACCGGUCACUGGCCCAUUAUUAUCAUACCGAUUCAUCGGCCGGGGGAUAAGGACGGUCACGCGCGCCCACACGGCCCGGUUCCACGGUGACGCCCGCACGCGAGAGGGACGCGGCCACGCACGGACAGCCGCAAAUAUCUAGGGGCUGGAAUAUGAUAAGAUCGGACGGUUGGAUCGCCGGUUUGUUUAAUCCCGGCCGCUGUUUGUUUUUGCCUCUUGGGUGUGUGUGUGUGUGACUGUGUGUGUGGCCACGCAGCUUCCGUGCGCCGGGAGGCUUCCGGCUCCGGACUCUCUCUCCCUCUCUGUUGCAGCGUUGUUUCAUCGCUGUGUACAGCUAAACUGCGGUCUGCGAAGGGGGUGGAAACUUGCAGGAGCAGUAUUCUAUUCGUGCCGCAAUGGAAUUUCUACACAUCACAGAACUGCGUGUGGAAAUGGUUGAUGUCAAGAUGUCAAAGCGACGGAGGUUUUACCGUGCAUCUUACCGUAGAGGUUGACCGAAUGUGAACUACAGUACUACGUAUCGAUCACCGGAUGGGAAAUGGUCACAUCUGUCGAUCACCAACAAGUCAGCGCCGCGCUCAGGCUCCACGGCCAACUACUUGGAGGCGCUCUGACUUUGACUUGGUUUACUUUUCGUAUUUUAUAACACUCCGAAACGGAGGUGCCCAAAACAGAACAACUCGAGUCUCUUCUUGACGUCAACUCCAACACUACACAGCCUACACUAGACCCAUCUCCUUUUGGGAUAAUAAACCAGGCAAACGGACCAGCCUAACACCUGACCGUAAUCGUAAAAAAAAAGUUCAUUUCACAUCCGGCCCGUCACAUUUCCGAUGCAAAUUUACACCCGAUUUGCGUUCACACGGGCUACGAAUGGACGGGUACGCAUUUGCUCCUCGUCCGUCUCAAACACGUGUGACGGCCUUUCAAAUACCUUCAUCGUUCAAAUUAAACGCGGACAUAUGCAGCGGGUCUGUCAGCGACACAACUGAUGGUUCGUCGUCCUUCUUAAUAUGAAAGCUGUGGACCGUUAAAUAUACAACUUUUACUUUCAAAACCCCUCCUGCCUCCUCCAGCCCCUACAGGAACUAGCAAAAUCCUAGCCUCGCCGUCAUCAUCAUGACCUGGUGUUGGACCAGCAAGGGGAAGCACGACCAUGAUGUCGGCUCCUCCUCGAGUAGCCGCCGCUCCAACCGCUCUAGGAGUCCCCCACCACCGUGUUCGUUGGCAUUUGUCAUCGCGUCGCCUGUAGCCCCACAGCGUGUUCGACCCUAUGUCUUCGCAAACAUCUAUCGUAGGUACUAGGAGACGUCGACACCACUCCGUGGGGAGAUGCCCACCUCCCAACCACUAGCAUGUGUUCGCGGAUCGGGUGCCAAUCCCUCCGGUGCUGGUGAGCGGCUGCGCCCACCGUGAGGAGAUCGACCAACGCCGCGCGCGUCUGCCACCGGUUCUGCUCCACGACCCAAGGUACGCCAUGAACUCGUUGUUGUGGGAUACGUGGCUCCGCGACGAGCACGACUGACGACGACAGUCUUUUUUUGUCGGUCAUCCACCUAGCCCAUGUCGACGUCGUGGUGCUAGCCCGUCCCAAAUGCGCGAGCGUAGGCGUGUGUGUGACCUCAUGCCGACGCCAUCUCCGUCCCCGUCCCCGCCACCACCACCUUCGAUGACCAAGGAGGAGGAGGUCGAGCUCAUAAGGCGUGUCAUGGAGGACUCCAUGAACACGCACGACGAGCGCCAAUGGGUGGGCUUAGAGGCGAUGUUGGUCCCCUCUGCAGUCGGCGACGUGGCCAUCCCAAAGCUGGAGCAGGCCCCCGUGGUGAAGGAGGAGGUCGCGUGGAACCCGCGGCUGGUGGGCCAACGGUGGGGGUGAUCGAGUUGGCCGAUGCGCUGGGUGUCGGACCAUGGUCAGCAAGGCCGUCGCGGUCUCCCGAGCAGGAGCAAGAGCCACGGGAGAAGGUGGUUCAGACGUCGCUAGUGCCUUCGGUCUUGUAGGGACCGCCAACCCACCUUUAACAGCCGUCUCCAUACUUCGACCUCACCAACGAUGUCGACGAGUAGGACGGUGCUCUUGAAGACGACGACAACCUUAUGUUUAAUUGAGAAUUGUGUUAAAUUUGGCUAGAAUGAACAUGUGAACGUUUAAUGUUUUUAUUCAUGGUUUUAUACUAUUUAUAACAUUUAUUUGGGUUCAUUGGGGGUCAUGGGUUGAAGUUGCCCUCAGGGUUCGUAGAUGUAAAUCAAGAUUUCCAACUUCCGCCGGUAUUUGCUUAGUACAAAGCGAGCCACGGUACUAGGGACUAUAACAGUUUGCGUUGCAUUAAAAUAACUGCCAAUUCCCGUCGAACAAUGUCAUUUGUACUGGGUACACAACAAUCCCCAUUCGCCGCACCAAUGAUGGAUUUCGAUCCAGUACACCGUAAGAUACCCAUCCAAGGGCCCACUGAAUUUCGGUGGGUGCAAAAGGAUUCUCACGUGCGCCGCUGAUUGCCUAAUAACGCAUUUCUGGACGAAAAUCAGAAACAGUAUUUUUUUCUUUCUUUCAUGUAUAUGCGCAAAGAUUCCCUCGAUCAUCAUAACCCCAGGUCGUCGUUCUAUACGUUGCGCAUCACUGAUUAUGGAAAGUCAACAGUCAAAAGCCAUGCUCUGUUUCCCCAAUUUACACCAUCACAUUACCAGGAACUGUAAGUAAUGACCGUACAGCAGCACCAAAAUUUUGGCAUCAAUCGGAAGCCAAGACGACGGCAGAAAGGGAAGGUAAAAACUGGAAGUGGCGCGAACUAGCUCGCUAGCUCUGGUAGCUCCAGAGUGGCACGUCGGCGAGGUGAGCCUCGCCGUAAUCGGCGAGCGCCGCGGCCAAGGAAGCAGGCGGCGCCAUGAGCAUCCCCUGCGCCAGGCUCGCGUAGUAAAGGUCCCAUCCCAUGUCGCUCAGGACGUCCAGCUCGAACGGCGAGCCCUCGGCCGCCGGGGAAGAGGACGACUCGUCGUCGGUGAGGGAGGAGGGCGCGGACGAGGAGGUGCAAGAGACCGAGAGCGCGUCGUCCUCCGCGUGCGCCUCGCGCCGCAGCAAGUCCUCGACGGCCUCCACGACGGCGUGGCGGACCUCGUCGAGGCUGCGGUACGAGGAGGCAGCCGGCACGGCGAGUAGCUCGGCGGAGUCGGCGAAGUUGAGGCAGCCCGCGCCCCCGGCGGCGAGCGCGAGCAUGGCGGCGUCGUUCGCGCGCGCGGCGGCCUCGGCGGUGUCGAAGGUACCGAGCCAGAGCCUGCUCCCGCGCCUGCCGGGCACGCGCACCUCGCACAC